UGUAAGCGUAUACCAAAGUUGUUGCAGUUAAAACGCUCGUAGUCGGAAUUUGGCAGUUCCGGAUGUGUGCACGUCGUGUGCGCACUUCGCGGGGAUUGCUUUUGUGGUCUUGCGUAGGAUGAGGCACUUUUAUUAGUGAACGUCCUCACGCAACCACUUUUUACUGUGAGAAAAUCAGAGUGCUCAAAGCAGGCAUUUGCCGUGAAUGUAUUAGCAUGGAAUAAUAGAAUAGGACUUGGUUCUAUUUUGUUGGUUUGUUGGGACUGAGUAAUGAUUAAGAGGGACAGUUGGGGGCGUUUGUACUUCGGUGCUAGAGGUGAAAUUCUUAGAUUACCGAAAGACAAACUGCUGCGAAAGCGUCUGCCAAGGAUGUUUUCAUUGA
rnacentral:rRNA from 1 species